rnacentral:rRNA from 1 species
AUUGAACGCUGGCGGAAUGCUUUACACAUGCAAGUCGAACGGCAGCACGGACUUCGGUCUGGUGGCGAGUGGCGAACGGGUGAGUAAUGCAUCGGAACGUGCCCAAUCGUGGGGGAUAACGUAGCGAAAGUUACGCUAAUACCGCAUACGAUCUAAGGAUGAAAGCGGGGGAUCGCAAGACCUCGCGCGAAUGGAGCGGCCGAUGUUAGAUUAGGUAGUUGGUGGGGUAAAGGCUCACCAAGCCGACGAUCUAUAGCUGGGCUGAGAGGAUGAUCAGCCACACUGGGACGGAGACACGGCCCAGACUCCUACGGUAGGCAGCAGUGGGGAAUUUUGGACAAUGGGCGCAAGCCUGAUCCAGCCAUUCCGCGUGCAGGAUGAAGGCCCUCGGGUUGUAAACUGCUUUUGUACAGAACGAAAAGCUCUGGGUUAAUACCCUGGGGUCAUGACGGUACUGUAAGAAUAAGCACCGGCUAACUACGUGCCAGCCGCCGCAGAA